UACGUAGGGUGCGAGCGUUAAUCGGAAUUACUGGGCGUAAAGCGUGCGCAGGCGGUUUUGUAAGCCAGAUGUGAAAUCCCCGGGCUUAACCUGGGAACUGCAUUUGGGACUGCAAGGCUAGAGUGUGGCAGAGGGGGGUAGAAUUCCUGGUGUAGCAGUGAGAUGCGUAGAUAUCAGGAGGAAUACCGAUGGCGAAGGCAGCCCCCUGGGCUAACACUGACGCUCAGGCACGAAAGCGUGGGGAGCAAACAGG
rnacentral:rRNA from 1 species